ACCCACACGAAACCUCUUGCAGUUUUUCUCUCUUCUCUGGUGGUUGCAGGCACACGAACGCAUGUCUCAGACUGGAGAUCCGAAGCACGGCCGGGUUUUGGCUCGGGUCCGCUCAUUUCAGAAGGGAGAGAGAUGACCCCACAUGUUUGUGCAUUGCGUGCCAGUCUAACUGGAGGGGAUUUGUACCUUCCGAUCCCAAAUGGAUAGUGAUGCACGUGAACCCUGAAGUCAGAAUUGAGUUGGUCGACCGGUGGUCGUACUUGAACCCUAACACACUCGAACAUAAACCAGGUGA